rnacentral:rRNA from 1 species
ACACUAUCAUUAACUGAAUCCAUAGGUUAAUGAGGCGAACCGGGGGAACUGAAACAUCUAAGUACCCCGAGGAAAAGAAAUCAACCGAGAUUCCCCCAGUAGCGGCGAGCGAACGGGGAGCAGCCCAGAGCCUGAAUCAGUGUGUGUGUUAGUGGAAGCGUCUGGAAAGGCGCGCGAUACAGGGUGACAGCCCCGUACACAAAAAUGCACAUGCUGUGAGCUCGAUGAGUAGGGCGGGACACGUGGUAUCCUGUCUGAAUAUGGGGGGACCAUCCUCCAAGGCUAAAUACUCCUGACUGACCGAUAGUGAACCAGUACCGUGAGGGAAAGGCGAAAAGAACCCCGGCGAGGGGAGUGAAAAAGAACCUGAAACCGUGUACGUACAAGCAGUGGGAGCACGCUUAGGCGUGUGACUGCGUACCUUUUGUAUAAUGGGUCAGCGACUUAUAUUCUGUAGCAAGGUUAACCGAAUAGGGGAGCCGAAGGGAAACCGAGUCUUAACUGGGCGUUAAGUUGCAGGGUAUAGACCCGAAACCCGGUGAUCUAGCCAUGGGCAGGUUGAAGGUUGGGUAACACUAACUGGAGGACCGAACCGACUAAUGUUGAAAAAUUAGCGGAUGACUUGUGGCUGGGGGUGAAAGGCCAAUCAAACCGGGAGAUAGCUGGUUCUCCCCGAAAGCUAUUUAGGUAGCGCCUCGUGAAUUCAUCUCCGGGGGUAGAGCACUGUUUCGGCAAGGGGGUCAUCCCGACUUACCAACCCGAUGCAAACUGCGAAUACCGGAGAAUGUUAUCACGGGAGACACACGGCGGGUGCUAACGUCCGUCGUGAAGAGGGAAACAACCCAGACCGCCAGCUAAGGUCCCAAAGUCAUGGUUAAGUGGGAAACGAUGUGGGAAGGCCCAGACAGCCAGGAUGUUGGCUUAGAAGCAGCCAUCAUUUAAAGAAAGCGUAAUAGCUCACUGGUCGAGUCGGCCUGCGCGGAAGAUGUAACGGGGCUAAACCAUGCACCGAAGCUGCGGCAGCGACGCUUAUGCGUUGUUGGGUAGGGGAGCGUUCUGUAAGCCUGUGAAGGUGUGCUGUGAGGCAUGCUGGAGGUAUCAGAAGUGCGAAUGCUGACAUAAGUAACGAUAAAGCGGGUGAAAAGCCCGCUCGCCGGAAGACCAAGGGUUCCUGUCCAACGUUAAUCGGGGCAGGGUGAGUCGACCCCUAAGGCGAGGCCGAAAGGCGUAGUCGAUGGGAAACAGGUUAAUAUUCCUGUACUUGGUGUUACUGCGAAGGGGGGACGGAGAAGGCUAUGUUGGCCGGGCGACGGUUGUCCCGGUUUAAGCGUGUAGGCUGGUUUUCCAGGCAAAUCCGGAAAAUCAAGGCUGAGGCGUGAUGACGAGGCACUACGGUGCUGAAGCAACAAAUGCCCUGCUUCCAGGAAAAGCCUCUAAGCAUCAGGUAACAUCAAAUCGUACCCCAAACCGACACAGGUGGUCAGGUAGAGAAUACCAAGGCGCUUGAGAGAACUCGGGUGAAGGAACUAGGCAAAAUGGUGCCGUAACUUCGGGAGAAGGCACGC